AUUGAACGCUGGCGGCAUGCUUUACACAUGCAAGUCGAACGGCAGCGCGGGCUUCGGCCUGGCGGCGAGUGGCGAACGGGUGAGUAAUGCAUCGGAACGUGCCCAGUAGUGGGGGAUAGCCCGGCGAAAGCCGGAUUAAUACCGCAUACGACCUGAGGGUGAAAGCGGGGGACCGAAAGGCCUCGCGCUAUUGGAGCGGCCGAUGUCGGAUUAGCUAGUUGGUGGGGUAAAGGCUUACCAAGGCGACGAUCCGUAGCUGGUCUGAGAGGACGACCAGCCACACUGGGACUGAGACACGGCCCAGACUCGUACGGGAGGCAGCAGUGGGGAAUUUUGGACAACGGGGGCAACCCUGAUCCAGCCAUGCCGCGUGCGGGAAGAAGGCCUUCGGGUUGUAAACCGCUUUUGUUCGGGAAGAAAUCCUCUGGGCUAAUACCCCGGGGGGAUGACGGUACCGGAAGAAUAAGCACCGGCUAACUACGUG
rnacentral:rRNA from 1 species